rnacentral:rRNA from 1 species
UACAGAGGUCCCGAGCGUUGUUCGGAUUCAUUGGGCGUAAAGGGUGCGUAGGUGGCGCCGUAAGUGGGGUGUGAAAUCCCGGGGCUUAACCCCGGGACUGCAUUCCAUACUGCGGUGCUUGAGGACUGGAGAGGAGACUGGAAUUUACGGUGUAGCAGUGAAAUGCGUAGAGAUCGUAAGGAAGACCAGUGGCGAAGGCGGGUCUCUGGACAGUUCCUGACACUGAGACACGAAGGCCAGGGGAGCAAACGGG